GUAGGAAUGCAUGUACCUGUAACUGUUUCCUGGGUCGUGAUAUCAAGAGCACCAUUCCCAUAUAAGGGCAGUGUUCCCUCCCCUUUUCUGUGUGUACCCGUCACUCCCGUGAGCGGGCAGUUGAGCAUGUUCUGCUUACAUUAAAGAAUGCCACGAGUCGGAUGGCUAAAGAGAUAAACGCCUGGACGUCCGUUCAUUCUCCGGAAAUCAUUGUUCCGCCGCGCAGGUAGGCCGAAUAAAUAAGCCUACCUGUCAACAGGUUAUGGGCCCAGGAACCGGGAAUGAUUCCAAAGUUUGACGGACUUGCGCGUCGAUGGCUAGCAUGACCGCGCUAGCAUACAGAAGUAUCCAAAAGAGCUAGUUUAGCAUCGGGAGAACCGGGAAGCUAAAGCUAGGCUAAAUAAACGGGAGCUAAACCGAACUACAAACAGCCAUGGCAAACCGAAGCAAGAGCCAGUGGCCCACUUUUGACGGGAGGGCAGAAGAGUAUGAGCUCUGGGAAGAGAGGAUGCUGUGCUGCAUGCACGGGGUGGGGCUGAAGCAGACAAUCCUGACAGAGCCCGCUGAACCACUGUCGGAGGAAGACAGGGCUAAAGACGAUAAGCUGAAUGCGGACGCCUACUGUGCAUUGGCGCCGCUGCUUGACAACACGAGCUUGGGGCUGAUAUUCAGAGACACAAAGGACAAGGGCCGAGAGAGUCUCAGAGUGUUAAAAGAACACUACAUCGGAAAAGGUAGGCCCCGAAUUGUUUCCCUGUACAUAACAAUGACAGCGCUGAAGAAAGCUGACAACGAGACCGUAACCAAAUACAUCAUCAGAGCCGAGCAGAUCAUUACAGCACUCAGGAGCGCAGGCGAAGCACCGAGCGAGGGACUGAUGAUGGCGAUGAUCAUGAGGGGAUUACCGGAGAAGUACAAGCCGUUCACACUGAUGGUGACGCAUGGUUCAGCUGACAUGACACUGGGAGAGUUCAAGGCAAAGCUAAGAAAUUUUGAGGCUUCAGAAGACGCAGACCCAGUCCUAGAAGAGGCAGGAGAAAGGGUGCUGAGGGCGCAAGCGGCGCCGAGGAAAAAGACUGGACUAGUGGAGAUGGUGUGUUGGCGGUGCGGAGAAAAGGGCCACAGAAGGGAUGACUGCACAGAGAAAGUUUGGUGCAGUUUUUGCAGAAGCAGGGGGCACACCGACAAAGCGUGCACAAAGAAGGAGCGUGAGCGGGGCGCCCGGUGCGCAUGUGUACAAGAUGGCGGCGGUGGCCGUAGGCCCGGGUGUGAACCAGACGGCGACCGGGGAGCCGCGGGAGGAGAAGACCGCACCUUCAGGGCACAAACAGAAGAUGCCAGUCUCUCAAGGAAAAUGCUGCAGACCCAGAGAAGGGGAAUGAUCGUGGACACGGGCGCGUCGUCCCACAUCAUCAACGAUAGAAGCAAGUUCAAAAGCUUUGACAGCACCUUCAGGCCGGAGAGACACAGUAUGGAGCUUGCAGAUGGGAAGCGUACUGUCGGUGUGGUGAAAGGCAGGGGAGACGCACAGGUAUGUCUCAUAAGCAGUGGGGGGCACCGGUGUACAGUGACAUUAAAGAACGCUCUCUACAUUCCCUCGUACCCUCAAGAACUCUUCUCAGUGAAGUCUGCUACCGCCCACGGUGCCAAAGUGUUUUUCGAUGAAGGAAAAGACGUUCUAGAGUCAACGGAUGGCACAAGGUUUGAAAUCUAUGUAUGUAAGAGAAUGUACUACCUGCAAACCGAGUGUGAUCUAGAUGAUGUGUGUCACGUCAGCUAUGAUAUUCAGACAUGGCAUGAGGUAAUGGGUCACUGUAAUUACGACGAUAUCUUGAAAUUGCAGGACGUGACAGAGGGCAUGCACAUUAAAGGUCCAAAGCGCAGGCCUGAUAAAGAAUGUGCAGUAUGCAUAGAGGGGAAGUUCACGCAGACGAGAAACAGAGACCCGACUAACAGAGCAAAGACGCCGCUUGAGCUGGUGAACACAGACCUAACCGGCCCAAUUAACAAUGAGUCCAUAGAUGGUUUUAAAUACAUGCAGUCUUUCACAGACGUGUGUACGGGGGCAGUGCUGGUCUAUUUUCUGAAAGCAAAAAGCGAUGCAGUUCAGGCUACAGAGAAGUACCUGGCAGAUUGGCUUACCUAAGAGCCUUUGGCACUAUGCCAUCCAGGAAGCAGCCUAUACCAGGAACCGGUGUUUCAACAAGCACACAGGCACUACCCCAUACACAGCACUGACAGG
ensembl:lncRNA